UACGUAGGGGGCAAGCGUUAUCCGGAUUUACUGGGUGUAAAGGGAGCGUAGACGGAAUGGCAAGUUGGAUGUGAAAGGCAUGGGCUCAACCCGUGGACUGCAUUCAAAACUGUCAGUCUGGAGUAUCGGAAGGGCAGGCGGAAUUCCUGGUGUAGCGGUGAAAUGCGUAGAGAUCAGGAGGAACACCGGUGGCGAAGGCGGCCUGCUGGACGGUAACUGACGUUGAGGCUCGAAGGCGUGGGGAGCAAAC
rnacentral:rRNA from 1 species